rnacentral:rRNA from 1 species
CAUGCAAGUCGAACGGCAGCAUGAUCUAGCUUGCUAGAUUGAUGGCGAGUGGCGAACGGGUGAGUAAUACAUCGGAACGUGCCCUGUAGUGGGGGAUAACUAGUCGAAAGAUUAGCUAAUACCGCAUACGACCUGAGGGUGAAAGUGGGGGACCGCAAGGCCUCAUGCUAUAGGAGCGGCCGAUGUCUGAUUAGCUAGUUGGUGAGGUAAAGGCUCACCAAGGCGACGAUCAGUAGCUGGUCUGAGAGGACGAUCAGCCACACUGGGACUGAGACACGGCCCAGACUCCUACGGGAGGCAGCAGUGGGGAAUUUUGGACAAUGGGCGAAAGCCUGAUCCAGCAAUGCCGCGUGUGUGAAGAAGGCCUUCGGGUUGUAAAGCACUUUUGUCCGGAAAGAAAUGGCUCUGGUUAAUACCUGGGGUCGAUGACGGUACCGGAAGAAUAAGGACCGGCUAACUACGUGCCAGCAGCCGCGGUAAUACGUAGGGUCCAAGCGUUAAUCGGAAUUACUGGGCGUAAAGCGUGCGCAGGCGGUUGUGCAAGACCGAUGUGAAAUCCCCGAGCUUAACUUGGGAAUUGCAUUGGUGACUGCACGGCUAGAGUGUGUCAGAGGGGGGUAGAAUUCCACGUGUAGCAGUGAAAUGCGUAGAGAUGUGGAGGAAUACCGAUGGCGAAGGCAGCCCCCUGGGAUAACACUGACGCUCAUGCACGAAAGCGUGGGGAGCAAACAGGAUUAGAUACCCUGGUAGUCCACGCCCUAAACGAUGUCAACUAGUUGUUGGGGAUUCAUUUCCUUAGUAACGUAGCUAACGCGUGAAGUUGACCGCCUGGGGAGUACGGUCGCAAGAU